UACGUAGGGUGCAAGCGUUAAUCGGAUUUACUGGGCGUAAAGCGUACGUAGGCGGCUUUUUAAGUCGGAUGUGAAAUCCCUGAGCUUAACUUAGGAAUUGCAUUCGAUACUGGGAAGCUAGAGUAUGGGAGAGGAUGGUAGAAUUCCAGGUGUAGCGGUGAAAUGCGUAGAGAUCUGGAGGAAUACCGAUGGCGAAGGCAGCCAUCUGGCCUAAUGCUGACGCUGAGGUGCGAAAGCAUGGGGAGCAAACAGG
rnacentral:rRNA from 1 species